GGCCAGGUGGCAGAGUGGUUAUGCAGCGGCCUGCAAAGCCGUGUACGCCGGUUCGAUUCCGCCCCUGGCCUCCA
rnacentral:tRNA from 1 species